UGGUACUGGACCUUUCUGGAAGUACAUCAUUAUGAACAAGGGAUAGGGGUUGGUGCAUCCUCCUGUUGUUCUGUUUUAUCAGAUAGGCCUUUUUCAGCAUUCUAGUGGCCGUGGUCUUGCGUGGUGAGCGACUAUGCAUAUUGCUACAUGGUGUAAUUGCACAUCCAGAGGUUUCCAGUAACUUGAUUGGAGACUAACGUACAUCAGUGAUGUGACUGCACUGUUGCUUUGUUUUUAGUGUUUGUUGGGUGAUUGUUUUAACUUUGUCUUUCUUGGUCUUAUUUUGGUUAAUUUUGUUUGUAUGGGUUCCAUUUUUAGUUUUUUUUAUUUUAUUUAGUUUUUUAUUCAUGAGCAGCCAUUCAUUAACGUGUGUUUGAAUUAGCUGGGAGGCAAGUAAGAUUUGGCCUUGGUCGGCCACUUGUUCCUCUUGUUGUUGCAUAUGACUGCUGAUUUUUAUUUUUUACAAGUAGUUAAAUCUGUGUGUGUGUGUGGGUGGGUGGUUGGGCUCCUUUUGGAGUAGAUUGUUCUGUUGUGGUAUGAAAGUGAGAAUUUUCUAUUUUUGAAUGUGUUAAUUGUUUUGAAGUUUGUACCAGUUGACAUUUUGUCAUUUAGGAGUAGAAACUUUUAAAGCAGGGAUUGCAGUCUUUUAGCGUGUCCACAUGGUGUGCGGUGCUUAACCAAUUGUGUUGCUUUCUCAACUGUGUGGUGUGGGUAUGGUGUGAGGUGAGAUUUCCAAAAGGCCCCCGCUGGCCAUUUCUUUCCUACUGGUUAUUUCUGUAAUUGGUAGAUUUGUGUAUUUGGUUUGUGAUUUAAGAUCUUGUGUACAAAAACAAAUGUGUUAAAUUGAAUUUCUCAUUUUUGUGUAUAUAAAUAAACUGCUUAAUUUUUAUACCUUGUUCAUAUCACCAUGCUCACCUUGCCUUUGGCAACGAACCUGUGUGCCCUUGCAUAGGGCUGUUGUGUCCCAGUAUAUUCCGGGUGGCGUAGUCGACUAUAGGAUUUGUGUUAGUUGUUAUUGGUAACUUCCCCUACCUGACCACUUUGCCACACAAACCUUUGACGCUCUCCAGAACACAAAUACAUACUGGAGCGUUUGACAAAUACAUUUGCCAAUAUAAGAUGGGCCUGAUUCCUCGGGGCCGUAAGCGUGGCUUAAUUCACUUAUCGGUUAAGUCCGCCCCUGCAUAUAUGGAGUACACUAUUGUAAGACAAUGUUGUAUUAAUGCAAUAGCUUGAUAAAGGUCUGUGCUGUCUUUUAUGGUCAAUUCAAUGUGUUCUUGCUGAAUAAAAGGUAUGGUUUCUCUCAAUAAAAAAAAAAAAAUGCUGACCCAAACUUUU